rnacentral:ncRNA from 1 species
GACGAUUCUGGAGACAGAUCUCUUCCCUUCGGGGACUGGAACACAGGUGCUGCAUGGCUGUCGUCAGCUCGUGUCGUGAGAUGUUGGGUUAAGUCCCGCAACGAGCGCAACCCUCGCCUUUAGUUACCAUCAUUUAGUUGGGGACUCUAAAGGAACCGCCGGUGAUAAGCCGGAGGAAGGUGGGGAUGACGUCAAGUCCUCAUGGCCCUUACGCGCUGGGCUACACACGUGCUACAAUGGCGGUGACAGUGGGCAGCAAACUCGCGAGAGUGCGCUAAUCUCCAAAAGCCGUCUCAGUUCGGAUUGUUCUCUGCAACUCGAGAGCAUGAAGGCGGAAUCGCUAGUAAUCGCGGAUCAGCAUGCCGCGGUGAAUACGUUCCCAGGCCUUGUACACACCGCCCGUCACACCAUGGGAGUUGGGUUCACCCGAAGGCGUUGCGCUAACUCGUAAGAGAGGCAGGCGACCACGGUGGGCUUAGCGACUGGGGUGAAGUCGUAACAAGGUAGCCGUAGGGGAACCUGCGGCUGGAUCACCUCCUUU